GACGAGGGGUCCUAGCGUUGUUCGGAAUCAUUGGGCGUAAAGCGUAUGUAGGUGGCCAUUUAAAGUCAGGUGUGAAAAGCCCCCGGGCUCAACCCCGGGGAAGUGCAUCUGAUACUGAGUGGCUUGAGUAUGGAAGAGGGCAGUGGAAUUCCUGGUGUAGUGGUGAAAUACGUAGAUAUCAGGAGGAACACCGGUGGCGAAGGCGGCUGCCUGGUCCUAUACUGACGUGAGAAUACGAAAAGCGUGGGGGGAUCAAAACAGGAUUAGAAAACCCCCCGGUUAGUCCAGACCCAAAGUC
rnacentral:rRNA from 1 species